CUGGAAGUGUGUGGUAGUUAACACCUCAAGGGGUAAUGAAUGCUUGGCCAGUGUGGAUUAGAAGCCAGUGGAUAAAUUAUCUUGUCUUCCAGUCCUUUGGCAGACAAUUCCGAGGUGUAUUCUCCAUCAUUCCUGAGAGGAUUGUCAGGCUAGUAGCAGCGAACUUCUGUGCCCAUGGUGGCAACCAGGUGGAUAAUUCACCCUCAAAUUGGCCUUCCUUCUGUUUCCGUCUUCCCAGUCCCCACUCCUGUUUUUUGGGGAUCAUUUCCCAAAAUAUACUUUCUGCAUGCAAUUCCUUGUCCCAGGCACUGCUUUUUUGGGGACCCAGUCUAAAACAACAUGUUCAUUACCUCUCUUUAGAAUAUGGUGAUACUUGUCAUUUAUUGUCCUUGCUUUGUGGAAAAUUCUAGACCAAAGGAGAAGUCCCAUCUAACAUCCUUCUGUACAUCGUUACUGGAAAUGAAGAGCUGACAGUCAUAGACUGAUUGCCAAGCAGAACCCCACACUGCUUAACAGCUCGCACAGCGUUCCUGUUGACGUGUUGUUGCUGAGAGCACUUUCCAGUAAUCUUUCUGAACACAAAUCACCAGCUCAAUCUGUUUCCUGGGGAACUUGAACUACAACAGAAUGAUACUGGGGAGUUUGCAAAAUCAAACUAAACAUAGGCAGCACGAAGGACACAAAGCAGGGGAGCCCCAGAAAUCUUAGUGGUAGAAACCUUUAAACCUCUUAGGGUACCACCAGGGUAUCUCUGCUCAAUAUUUAAAUCCCUGGAAGGGAGCCUCUGAUUGGCCUUGUUUGGGUUGGGAAUCAGGGCCCUGUGAUCAGAACUACCUGGGAUAGUGGAGAGGAAAGAGAAGCAACCUGUGUCUUCCAGACCAUGGUAUCUGAAGUUUUCUUGGAGGAAGUCAAAUAAAUAUGUGGGUUGAGGAUGGGAGCUCUAAGCAGAGGAUGUGGUGGCUCAUUUAAGAUCACACAUUGACAAAGAGCAGAGUGGUGUCAAGAUUCUGGGACAGAGGCAAGUUAGAGAUAAAACUCUUGUUUUUCCCAAGGUCCAUCAUACAACUGAAAUGGAAGACUAUGGCUUGCUGACCAAUUCUUGCUCAUUUGGGGUUACUUUAUAUAGGGGGGUAAGUGUCCCUUCAGGUGGACUGAGAGUCACCAGAAGAUUUAGUGGAAGGACCCUGCCUCUGGGGAUGCAUAUGUAGCUGGUACUAAUGAGUACUUUCUAUGUAUCAGAAAGCCACCAAAUAUCACUCUUCCUCCCCUGAGUUCAGAACCACCUGACAGACAGACACAGGGGUCAUAUGGGGCUAGGUCGAAAGAUCAGCUUGAUUGAUAAUGGAUUGGUGGAUGUAGCCUGGGUAUACAGCUUCCUAGUACUAGACUCCUACAUCGGAGACAUCCAUUCUCCAACCAGUCACGAGAAGAACUGGCCAGAUACCGUAGUUUUUCUCAUUAGGGCAGGAGCUCAGUGCAUGGCAUGUCCACGCUGAAAGAAUGAGAGGAAAAAAUGAAUGGAAAAUACAGGUGGUAUUGAAGAAAGAGCACUCUUCCUGUGGGGGGUCAGAUCCAAAAUAAAGAAACCAGAUGGGGCUGAAUCUAACAUGCUCUGUUCCUUCUGUAUAACUCACCAUCCAGAGUGAGGAGGAGUGAGGGGAGGAGGAGCGAAAGGACAGGUGUGUCGCUCUGGCCAAAGUCCUUCCAUGUGCUCACAUGGAGCUGGGGAAGAGGAAGUGUGGAACAACUACUUUCCAUAUAUUUACAUAUAUUAGCAUAUCUAGUUUCACAACACUAUGAAGUAUCACUGUCCCGAUUUUAUAGAAGAGGAAACUGAGGCCAAGGCCAUCUUCCAAGGAUGUGCUUGCUUGGGAUUUGAACCAAGGAACUAAGUGUCCUCUGAUCUGAAAGCCCAUGUUCUUUUCAGUGCCCUUUACCUGCUCUUCAUUUGGAGUGCAGGGGAAGGGGAGGACUCCUGGCUCUCUUCUCCAGCCCUCACAGGGGUCCUGAAGCUUCCAGCUCACGUUGGACCUGGUUGCUUGAGUUACCUCAUGUACCUGAGUCUACAAAGGCUUCUAUGGGAAUGUGACAGAUUUGAAGGGGCAGUCACUGGGCCCGUACCAGGAAGGCUGGGAAUAGGGCUCCUUUCCUGUGGUGCUUAGCGUUGGUCUCCCCUGCAGGACCUAUACCCGCUUGCUAGACCAGGCUGUCCUCACAUGGCCAAAGAGGCUGCCACAAAGGCCUCACCUUGCCUCCCACCAGGACACCCUGG
rnacentral:lncRNA from 1 species